GAACGACUCUCGGCAACGGAUAUCUCGGCUCUCGCAUCGAUGAAGAACGUAGCGAGAUGCGAUACUUGGUGUGAAUUGCAGAAUCCCGUGAACCAUCGAGUCUUUGAACGCAAGUUGCGCCCGACGCCCUCGGGCCGAGGGCACGCCUGCCUGGGCGUCACGC
rnacentral:rRNA from 1 species